UACGUAGGGGGCAAGCGUUAUCCGGAUUUACUGGGUGUAAAGGGAGCGUAGACGGCACGGCAAGCCAGAUGUGAAAGCCUGGGGCUCAACCCCGGGACUGCAUUUGGAACUGCUGAGCUAGAGUGUCGGAGAGGCAAGUGGAAUUCCUAGUGUAGCGGUGAAAUGCGUAGAUAUUAGGAGGAACACCAGUGGCGAAGGCGGCUUGCUGGACGAUGACUGACGUUGAGGCUCGAAAGCGUGGGGAGCAAACAGG
rnacentral:rRNA from 1 species